UAUAAUGAAAUUCAAGUGAGUCACUUAUGCC
rnacentral:piRNA from 1 species